CAACAAUCCUGGCAGACAAUUGAGU
rnacentral:piRNA from 1 species